AGAAGCGUAGAUGUAGACUGGAGGUGGGGGAGAUUUUACUGGUGGUGGUGGAGAGUUGUAAUGGUACGGUGGUGGUGGGGAUUUCACUGGAGGAGGUGGUGAAUGGUAGUAGUAAGGUGGUGGGGGAGAUUUGACUGGAGGGGGUGGAGAGUUGUAAUGGUACGGUGGUGGUGGGGAUUUCACCGGAGGAGGUGGUGAAUGGUAGUAGUAUGGUGGUGGUGGAGAUUUGACUGGAGGGGGUGGUGAGUGAUAAUAGUAUGGUGGAGGAGGAGACUUCACAGGUGGGGGUGGUGAGUGGUAGUAGUAAGGUGGUGGAGGUGAUUUCACUGGUGGGGGAGGUGAGUGAUAGUAGUAUGGUGGUGGUGGAGAUUUCACCGGAGGAGGUGGGGAGUGGUAGUAGUAUGGUGGUGGUGGAGAUUUCACCGGAGGAGGUGGUGAGUGGUAGUAGUAAGGUGGAGGAGGAGAUUUCACCGGUGGAGGUGGGGAGUGGUAGUAGUAUGGUGGUGGUGGAGAUUUCACCGGUGGAGGUGGUGAGUGGUAGUAGUAUGGUGGUGGUGGAGAUUUCACCGGAGGAGGUGGGGAGUGGUAGUAGUAUGGUGGUGGUGGAGAUUUCACCGGAGGAGGUGGGGAGUGGUAGUAGUAAGGUGGAGGAGGAGAUUUCACCGGAGGAGGUGGUGAGUGGUAGUAGUAUGGUGGUGGUGGAGAUUUCACCGGAGGAGGUGGUGAGUGGUAGUAGUAUGGUGGUGGUGGAGAUUUCACCGGAGGAGGUGGUGAGUGGUAGUAGUAUGGUGGUGGUGGAGAUUUCACCGGAGGAGGUGGGGAGUGAUAGUAGUAAGGUGGAGGAGGAGACUUCACCGGAGGAGGUGGGGAGUGGUAGUAGUAAGGAGGGGGUGGCGACUUCACGGGAGGAGGUGGGGAGUGGUAGUAGUAAGGAGGGGGAGGAGAUUUCACCGGAGGAGGUGGAGAGUGGUAGUAGUAAGGUGGGGGUGGAGACUUCACCGGAGGAGGUGGGGAGUGGUAGUAGUAAGGAGGGGGUGGAGACUUCACCGGAGGAGGUGGAGAGUGGUAGUAGUAAGGUGGAGGAGGAGACUUCACCGGAGGAGGUGGAGAAUGGUAAUAGUAAGGAGGAGGAGGAGAUUUCACCGGAGGAGGUGGUGAAUGAUAGUAGUAUGGUGGUGGAGGAGACUUGACCGGAGGUGGUGGAGAAUGGUAGUAGUAUGGAGGUGGUGGGGAUUUGACGGGUGGUGGUGGUGAGUGAUAAUAAUAUGGAGGUGGAGGAGAUUUUACUGGUGGUGGAGGAGAGUGGUAGUAGUAUGGUGUAGGAGUGUGCGUUGGAGGGGGUGGUGAUUUGUAAACAUACGUUGGAGUGGGAGGAGGCGGUGACUUGUAGACAUAGGUCGGAGUAGGAGGAGGUGGUGAUUUGUAAAUAUAGGUUGGAGUUGGUGGUGGUGGAGAUUUGUAAACAUAUGUUGGGGUUGGAGGUGGUGGUGACUUGUAUACAUAAGUAGGAGUUGGUGGAGGUGGUGACUUGUAGACAUAAGUAGGGGUUGGUGGUGGUGGAGAUUUAUAGACAUAAGUCGGGGUUGGUGGCGGUGGUGAUUUGUAAACAUAGGUCGGGGUUGGCGGUGGUGGUGACUUGUAAACAUAUGUCGGAGUUGGCGGUGGUGGUGAUUUGUAGACGUAAGUCGGAGUUGGUGGAGGUGGUGAUUUGUAGACAUAAGUUGGAGUUGGUGGUGGUGGAGACUUGUAGACAUAGGUUGGAGCCGGUGGUGGUGGUGACUUGUAGUAGUAAACCGGAGACGGUGGUGGUGGAGAUUUGUAAUAGUAUGGAGGAUGGUAAGGAGCCGGUUUGUGGCAUUCACCAUAAGGUUUCUUCGGUGCAUAAGCAAAGGACUUAGCAUAAAGCACAACCUCGUACUUUGUCUUUGAUUUCACAUGGAGUUUUGCACCUUUGUUACCCAUAUGGUAACUUGUAGGAAUGUUACAUGGCGAUCCCUUAGGAGGAGCAUGAAGCUUGGCCGUGCAGACUUCGCCACCGUAUUUACGGUAGUUGUAUCCUUUAACGGUGAUUGCGUAUUUACCGUUGAUUUUGGUCUUUCCGUAUGCCUUCACUGUCUUGUCACCGGCCUUGCAAGUCACUUCCACAACAGCACCUAUAUGACAAAAACAAAUUAUUAAAAUUUAAAAAUAUCAUUUGAUGUCCUUUUAGUUGGUAUAUCUACAAAAUCGAUUUUGCUUGUUCGAUCUCUUUGGAUUGUUUGUCAAUAACAGAUUCUUGUCUUUUUCUUGACUUAAUCUCGUUUUCUUUUCUCCACUAAUAAAAAUAAAAUCUAGAUCACAUGCAACUACUAGUACUUUACAAUACAUAUAUGCUAGUUAAUUAUUUAAGUCCUAUAAGCAUCAAGAUAAAAUUAUGUAAAUUAGUUAAGGAAUUUGCUAAGAUUAGAAUUUAUUAUUGAACACGUGGGGGAGACUUAUAAGUUACCUUUGAGAUGCUUCUUAUCGUGGGACUUUUUAGGGUAUGUCCAGUCAUAACAUCUGUAACAGUACACCUUACCAACAACUUUGAAGACAAGUGGAUGUGUGUGUGGGUGAGGAUGAGGGUAUGACACCGGAGGUGGUGGUGAUGAAUAGUAGUAUGGUGGAGAGUACGACUUUGGUGGUGGUGGUGGAGAUGAGUAGUAAUAUGGUGGAGGGUAAGAUUUUGGUGGUGGUGGAGAUGAGUAAUAGUAAGGUGGAGGUGGUGAUUUCACCGGAGGAGGCGGUGAAUGGUAGUAGUAUGGAGGUGGAGGAGAUUUGACCGGUGGUGGUGGAGAGUGAUAAUAGUAUGGCGGCGGUGGAGAUUUAACUGGGGGAGGAGGAGAGUGGUAGUAGUACGGUGGUGGUGGAGAUUUGACUGGAGGAGGAGGAGAGUGGUAGUAGUACGGUGGUGGUGGAGACUUGACCGGAGGAGGAGGAGAGUGGUAGUAGUAAGGUGGAGGUGGAGACUUAACCGGAGGAGGAGGAGAGUGAUAGUAGUACGGUGGUGGAGGAGACUUCACCGGAGGGG
rnacentral:lncRNA from 1 species